rnacentral:rRNA from 1 species
AAUUUUGGACAAUGGGGGAAGCCCUGAUCCAGCCAUCCCGCGUGUAUGAUGAAGGCCUNCGGGUUNUNAAGUACUUUUGGCAGAGNCGAAAAGGUAUCUCCUAAUACGAUAUACUGCUGCCGUUAUCUUCAGAAUAAGCACCGGCUAACUUCUUUCCAUCAGCCGCGGUAAUACGUAGGGUGCAAGCGUUAAUCGGAAUUACUGGGCGUAAAGCGUGUGUAGGCGGUUCGGAAAGAAAGAUGUGAAAUCCCAGGGCUCAACCUUGGAACUGCAUUUUUAACUGCCGAGCUAGAGUAUGUCAGAGGGGGGUAGAAUUCCACGUGUAGCAGUGAAAUGCGUAGAUAUGUGGAGGAAUACCGAUGGCGAAGGCAGCCCCCUGGGAUAAUACUGACGCUCAGACACGAAAGCGUGGGGAGCAAACA